rnacentral:rRNA from 1 species
AGUAACGCGUGGGUAACCUGCCUCAUACAGGGGGAUAACAGUUAGAAAUGGCUGCUAAUACCGCAUAAGCGCACAGUACUGCAUGGUACAGUGUGAAAAACUCUGGUGGUAUGAGAUGGACCCGCGUCUGAUUAGCUAGUUGGUGAGGUAAGGGCUCACCAAGGCAACGAUCAGUAGCCGACCUGAGAGGGUGAACGGCCACAUUGGGACUGAGACACGGCCCAAACUCCUACGGGAGGCAGCAG